rnacentral:sRNA from 1 species
GGCAAUUUAACGAGCCACUUCCAUGAUCUCCAAAGAAACCAAAAUACAAACACAAUAUUUAAUCUUGCCAACCGAAGACGAUGUGACUGCAUGAAGUGCCCUUCGUUUUAAGAGAAAGAUUAUUGGAUUAAAAGAUGAGUUUUACAACCGCUACAUAAUGAAAAGUUUUUUGUUUGAACCAGUAGUCAAAGCAUUUCUAAACAAUGGAUCCCGCUACAAUCUGAUGAACUCUGCCAUAAUAGAGAUGUUUGAAUUUAUUAGAGUGGAAGAUAUAAAAUCAUUAACUGCUCAUGUAAUUGAAAAUUACUGGAAAGCACUGGAAGAUGUAGAUUAUGUACAGACAUUUAAAGGAUUAAAACUGAGAUUUGAACAACAAAGAGAAAGGCAAGAUAAUCCCAAACUUGACAGGAAUCACAGAUAUCGAAGAGAUGCCAGAACACUAGAAGAUGAAGAAGAGAUGUGGUUUAACACAGAUGAAGAUGACAUGGAAGAUGGAGAAGCUGUAGUGUCUCCAUCUGACAAAACUAAAAAUGAUGAUGAUAUUAUGGAUCCAAUAAGUAAAUUCAUGGAAAGGAAGAAAUUAAAAGAAAGUGAGGAAAAGGAAGUGCUUCUGAAAACAAAUCUUUCUGGACGGCAGAGCCCAAGUUUCAAGCUUUCCCUGUCCAGUGGAACGAAGACUAACCUCACCAGCCAGUCAUCUACAACAAAUCUGCCUGGUUCUCCGGGAUCACCUGGAUCCCCAGGAUCUCCAGGCUCUCCUGGAUCCGUACCUAAAAAUACAUCUCAGACGGCAGCUAUUACUACAAAGGGAGGCCUCGU